rnacentral:snRNA from 1 species
GUAUGUGAAGACAAUCUGAUUACAACAUCUGUUACCCCCAGUGGUCACCACGGUUGAUGCAACUGAUCUGGUGGGCUAGGAGUGGGGCUCCUUCCUUCCUUACCAGUCUAUGUGCAUCCCUUUCAAAGCUGUGCACAUAGUCCAAGAGGACAAUGUUCUUCCUUCCCUGAUAGAGGAGGACAGUUCUUCAGUGAAGUGUGAAGGUAACUGUGUUCCCCUCCUAGACCUUCCAAACAGGUUGCCAUGAUACUAAGCUGGGCAGAGAGCCUCAGCUAACCUAAUUGGCAAACCUCUGCUAGGAGUCUUUACUCCCCUUC